UGUACUUUGCGGCCAAUGGAUUUUCGUUUUGAAAUGAGAAAACCAAAAUCGGGAAACGAGCUGUUUCCCGAUUACCAUAUAGAGAUAGGAAAACAAAAAUCCGAAAAUGACCCAUUUUCCGAAUUUUGUUUUGAUAAUAGAAAACGGAAAACGGUAAAACGACCAGUUAUCUGAUUUUCUUUGAUGUGCUUAAACAUUGACAUCGGGAAUUAAAAUACUGCGUGGAAAUCUUCUUUCUCAAUUUUGCGAAGAUUUUGUGUUGUGACCCGGAAGUUCCUCUCACAAGCUUAACCGUUACAUUGCAUGGAAUGGAAAUGGAGAGCUUCAUAUUGUUUCGCGGACCCAAACGGCUGACUAUGAAGCAAGAGGACAUGUCUGCAGACAAAAUUUGCAGGAUUUUUCAGGUCAGUUGCAGCAGUCUUUAUAUCACGGACGACUCCAACACGGCAAUAUUUCCAGAGCCAGCAGGCCAUUUUUCAAUAAUUAAUCUAACUAAUCGCAGUCAUUAUGAGGUCCACGGCGAUGCAGAGCACCUUCCACCCGCUGCUGGUGCCCCUGCUUUUGGGUUCAUGCGCCGACCCUCACCGGCUUCUGCUUCUGCCACAUCUUUUUCUGCGUCUGGUUUUUCCACUGAAACACCACCACCACCACCACGAGCUGGAACUCCACGAGCUAGUGGAGCUAGCUUGUUCCAGGGAAGAUCAUUCCAAAGGUCAAUCCAUCUGGCAGAAAUUGUUAAUGAGAAACUCAGUCCUUCCAGGACAGUAGUUGUGCGCUUUUUGGAAGCUGAGGCCUGCGUUGAACGAAUUUCGGCCAAAGUUCAAGAUGCCGUGGGCUCUGAUGAGCCUAUUACCUUGACGGACACCCAAGGAAACGAAAUAAUGGACUCUGAGGGCACAAGAAGUAAGUUGUAUGAUCAGAAACUUGCUUCUAAUUUGUGGUUUCUAAUAAACCUUAAUGUUGAUUUUAAAGGAGUCAUUGAUUGCAAAAAACAAAUUUACCUUGUCACAGUUGAUUAACGACAGUUCAGUGGGUAAAAUGUACAUACAAUGAACCCUUAAAGUCCAUUGACACUUCUUUCAUAUGCAAAUCUCACAAUUAGAAACCGGUAGGUAUGUAAAGCAGGAUUUGCUAAGAAGAUGUAGCUGAAAAGGUGCUGUUCUGACCCUUUGUUCAUUACAACCGCAAGCUGUAGUAUUAUGUUGUUGCUAACGUAUCCUCCCUGUUUCUAUUAUCGGUAGAUGUGAUGGUUUAGUUUAUUGGCAAUGUGGCUAACGUUAUUUCAUGUCCCUGACUGUGUUUCAUUCAAAUAAAUAACACGUGUUUGUUUACAGCCCAACCAAUGUUACAUACCCUAUUCGGAGACCGUAAGGAACCGUGUGAAAUACCCCCAAAAAGUCAAUGACCCCUUUUAAAAACAGAAGUGAAGUUAAUGUUUUCUGACUUCUUAGGUUCCCAGUUCUGGAAACAGAACUCAAGAAAAAUAUAUGCUGUGCCUGAAAGUGACUUUGUGGAGUUUCAGAAUGGGAGAAGAGCUAAAACAAGUCGAAGGGAUGGAGAUUCAAGCCUGCAGGAGGUCCUUGGACGUGUUGACCAGCUGAAGCAAGCCGCCGGGAGUCUCCAAGAGGUCACUAAUUCAAUCAACCAGCUGUCUCAGCUGGCCAAGUCUCAAAAGGAGGAGAUAAUGGCAAAUGUCGGUUUGCAGCCCUUAAAGGAAGCCUUUGCAUGUCUUGUGUGUAAAGGUACGUGUAAGAUAUGUAACAGUAGGUCAUUCUACAGUACAAAACAUAGCCGCCUGCCACCCUCAAGCACUGCGCUGACCAGCUGUCACGGGUGUUCAUCGCCAUCUUCAACAUUCACUCUGCGAUAAAACACACUUCUGAUUGCUUAGUUAAUUUCCUUCUAUAUUGCAACUAACAAUUAAAUGUUAUUUUCUGCAUCAAUUUAUAAUAUAUAUUUUUUUAACCUUGCAGCUGUAAUGGCAGAUCCCAUGUUCGCCACAUGCUGUGAAUCGAUAAUUGGAUGUCGUACCUGUGUGGAGCUGUGGUUAGUCACAUCAGACCACUGCUUGAAAUGCAGGGCAGGAGACUUUGAAAAUAAAAUACAUGAAGUGAAGGGUCUCUCUGCUGCCUUGUCACUUUUCAAGGAGAGAGAAAUUGAUUUGAUUUGAUAGAUAAUUGUUUGUUAUUGUUUGUUAUGUUUACAUUACUGGAACUACCUCAGUUUGUUUGUUGGAUGUUAUUAUGGGUACAUGACCAGAAAGAUGUUGUUUGUUGUAAUGUUUAUAUUGUGUG